rnacentral:lncRNA from 1 species
GCAAUUGAGCUUGCAGAGAUUUGUUUCAGCAGCAGUAGGAAGCUGCUACAACUCCCACUUUGCAGCUGGGGUAACCGAGGCUCGUCUGCUCAGAGACAGGUGGCCCCUCGGAAGGCACUGUCUUCCGCAGGAGACGUCCUGUCCUUGUGGCCGUGCCCGUCUGCAGGGGCGGUGACCAGCGCCAAAGAAGCCUGUGCCGCUGCUCUGGGGCCUGUCAGGCCUCACACGGGAGGGACCAGAUGCCAUGCGGCAUUUCUCCGGGCCCGAGAUCCUGACUCAGGCCACACUCCCAGUCCCUCCACCACUGCCAGGCUGAUGCACUGGAAAAAAAAGAAAAAAGAAAGAAAAAAAAAAGCCAGCAUUUUGCAGAACUUUUGCUCCAUUAUCGGAUGUUGGGGGCCAGCCCCUGAGAGCUCUCCUCAGCACUCCUCCUUCCAAUUGAGGCACUUCGAUACCUGCUGUUGAUUCCCUGAGAGUCCUUGAUGCGGAACCCACCCGGGAACUUGAGAGAGCCGUGAGAAACCAUUUCCCAAAAGCCUUCCCAGACUUUAUCUGGCCCAAGUUCCCAGGUGACGGGGUUGCAAGGCCGCCCGCCACGCCCACGGUGACAGAGCCUGACUCCCAGCUCGCAGGAGCAUCCUUCACGCCGCGGCGGGUCAGGAACGUCGUCUUCGGACUUGAUGAAAUUUUCAUUCCUGACGUUAAUGGUGUCUUUCUCUCCGCCCCGCUCCCCAAUCUAACCAGACCAAAUACAGGAGGCCGUGGAGGGCAGGCAGCAGGCAUCUGGGGACACAUAGGCCUCCUCCUGUGCUUGUGUCUUACUUACAACCACUACACAAUAUCCCGUCAGGGCCACGCCACCCUCACUUAACCAAAUGCCUAUCCUUCGAGCAUUGAGCUGUUCCUACCUCUAUUGCUAUAAGCAAUAGUUCUGAACAUCUUUGUGCAUAAUUUUCCUUCCAAAUUCUAGAUGAUUUCCUUUGAGACAUUUCCAGAGGCAUAGUUCCUGGAUCAAAGGCAAAAGCCUUUUAAGGUCUUAGAUACAUAUGCCAAACGGUCUCCUGAGACGUCGGUGUGCAGCCCUGCAUGAGCCCAGCCAAACUAGCCAGUGCGGGGCGAAUGCUUGGUUUUUUUUUUUUUUUUUUUUUUAAGAUUUUAUUUAUUUAUUCUUGAGAGACAGAGACACAGGCAGAGGGAGAAGCAGGCUCCAUGCAGGGAGCCUGACGUGGGACUCAAUCCCGGGACCCCAGGAUCACAGCCUGGGCCGAAGGUGGUGCUAAACCACUGAGCCACCCAGGCUGCCCCAAAUGCUUGGUCUUGAAUCCUUCGUUAAUCAAACUCACUGGAAGUCACACAAGAGCUUCAGAUGGACAGAAGCUCCCACCAGGGUGACCACGCUGAGCUGACAUGAUUCCAUGCCAAAGUGAGGUGUGUGCUGUUUUCACAGCCUUCUAGCUCCAGAGCAGGGACGCGAGGUUCUUUUGUACCAUUCUGGAAGAUGGAGAAACUGGAUGACACAGGUUCUGGGAACCAAGAUGGCCUCACCUCCCUCCAUGCAGGUGACCCUGCCAUCUCUGCUCCUGUGUCGGGGUUUCCUAAAUGCACUCCCUGUGUUGGCUGUAGUUAUGUGAACAUUUACUUGUUGCUUAAAAUUAAGGUAAAAGAAUCCCUGGAGAGACCUGUUUACAAAAAAAAAAAAAAAAAAAACUAAACGCAAGAAUUCCUCCAAUAGCUAAAUAUCCUGUCACAAAGAAUGCAAACUUAACUUGUAUGCAUUCUGGGCAAACUGAUCUAGACCUGCACCGUAUCUGGAAUCUGGGUGGACGUGGGCCGGGGUUUUCCUCUUACUCAUCUCUUACUAGGGGUGCUGGCUCACUCCCAGCUGUAGAUCCCCCGUCUGCAAAAUGACUUAGGACAAGC